rnacentral:rRNA from 1 species
GACGAACGCUGGCGGCGUGCUUAACACAUGCAAGUCGUACGGUAAGGCCCUUUCGGGGGUCCACGAGUGGCGAACGGGUGAGUAACACGUGAGUAACCUGCCCACAACUUUGGGAUAACGCUAGGAAACUGGUGCUAAUACUGGAUAUGUGCUCCUGCUGCAUGGUGGGGGUUGGAAAGCUCCGGCGGUUGUGGAUGGACUCGCGGCCUAUCAGCUUGUUGGUGGGGUAGUGGCCUACCAAGGCGGCGACGGGUAGCCGGCCUGAGAGGGUGACCGGCCACAUUGGGACUGAGAUACGGCCCAGACUCCUACGGGAGGCAGCAGGGGGGAAUAUUGCACAAUGGGCGCAAGCCUGAUGCAGCAACGCCGCGUGCGGGAUGACGGCCUUCGGGUUGUAAACCGCUUUCAGCAGGGACGAAGCUUUUUGUGACGGUACCUGCAGAAGAAGCACCGGCUAACUACGUG